CAAGUAAAACUAGUGAAUAAAUAUAUUCAACCUUUUGUCUAUACACCUAAGUUGAGACUUGAAGCAGCAAAGGAGCUAUACAUAACCAUAAAGAAAAGGACAAUCAAAAUACAACUAAAUUAUGUACAAAACACAAUCCCAAAGACACAAACCCUUAACGAAAUUCACAAAAAAUUGCCAUUUGGAAAAGAGAGUGUGUGUGUGUGUGUGAGAGAGAGAGAGAGAGAGAGAGAGCUCUUUCCUGUCUUCAAAUUAUGUUGUAAAGAAACUAACUUUUAAGGUUAUCCCACUUACAUCAAAACCAUUAGAGCUCUUCUCCUCAUUCAACCCUAGAAAUUCACUGCGGAGCUCUCCUUCCACUAUUCACUACGAUUAUUGUAACAUUUCUACUGCGCUCCAUUCACAAACACAAAAGCAACAGACAAUUGUUUUGAUGAGCAAAUACUCAUGUAAAAACGAUUUAGAAGAAAAUUGUACCUUUGCAAGAGGAGAUUUUGAGCUAGCGUUUCCUAUAGCACCACUGUUAUUUUUCCUUAGUAAAUGAAUCCCUAUUGUUCUAUUCAGGAGGUUGGUCCCAUUUGAAUUUCGGUUAAAAUUAAAAAAAUAAUAUAAUCUCAAAGAUUGAAUAGAAAAAAAAAUUUCUCUCUAAUAUUUCGUCAAACCACUGCAUCGUAUAUAUAUGACCACAAACACAAUGCUUCAUAUACAAAUUCUAAGAAUCAACAAUAUAAUUAUAAAUAAAGCAAUUAAAUUGGACAUGGUUCCCUCUUUUGAAGCACUCUUAUUGCAAUUAAAACCUUCUUAGAUGCAUAUAAAAAUCAAUACCAAAAACAAUUGAAGAAACUAACACCAAAUUUAACUAUAUAGAUAUAUGUAUAUAUAAAAGAAAGAUGCAUAAAAAUGAACCUGCUUAACAGCAAGAAGCUGUCUAGAAUCAAGAUUCAUUCCGAUAUAAACCCAGCCAAAUGCACUACAGUCCGUGGCCAAGCAGGAAGCCGCGGCCUUGAGAAAAGUCUUAUUUACAAUUGACAAUGUUGGACCUGAUUUCUUGAGGAAGCCUCUGAAGACACCUCCAAGCAUGUUGAGUGUUAUUCUAAUAGAAGAUUUAAUAAAUGCAAUGAAAUAAAACACAAAUUUUAGUUCAACAGUUUUGGAAAUUAACAAUUGUUUACAUAAAUAUAAAGAGAGUGAUAUUCGGGGUUUGUGAUGGGGAUACCCACUGGAACUGUUCGGAUCUCUAAACCAAAGUGGCCUUAAUUUGUUCUUGGUCAGCCAUGCUCUCUUCAAGAGCUUUAGUCAUCGAAAUCAAUAAUUUUGGAAAUUGACAAUUGUUUACACAAAUAUAAAGAGACUGAUAUUAGGGGUUUGUACUGGGAAUACCCAUUGGAUCUGUUCGGAUCUCUAAACCAAAAUGGCCUCAAUUUGUUCUUGACUUGCCAUGCUCGCUUCAAGAGCUUUGAUCAUCGGAAUCAAUCACUCGUUGAUCGUCGACUUCAAGGUAUAGUCGUCCAUCAACACUCCAUAGAUCAAGCCCUCUCAAGUCUCAAUCAGCCAUUUGUAACUCACAAACCCAUGGUGGAGACAUGAAGAGAGAGAGGUAGCAUGGUCUUUGUGAACAAGCUUGAAGUUUGAAAUGUGAGAGGCAAGGUUGAUAGAGAAACAAAAAGAAAAGCAAAGAAAAAGAAAGAGGAAGGGAGGUUUGAUCUUAGCCAUUGAAUGUUGGUGUCAUCUUCUAGCCCAUGAUGCAAUGAUGCCACGUUGGACAAAGGUUCAAAAACAAUCUUGUCACUGUUGGAUCAAACCCAAAAUUAAUCUUAGCCAUUCCAAUCAAAUGUAUCUCUAACACAUUUUUAAAAACAAAGUUGCCUUACUAUAUAGAUUAUGACUUCGGUUGGGUAGUUAUCACUUCACUUGUUGACAAAAAUGGGAUGUAGAGUGUAACCCCAAGAGGUUGGCUUGGUGGCAAGGCCAUGGGUCUUGGGGGUGUGCUCCCUCCAAGGUUCAGGGAUCGAAAUCUCUUAGGUGUUAACAAUUCCUUUAGCUCAUCAGACUGAGGGAAAACUCUUGAAUUAACUGUAGUGCACUUGUGGGAAACUGCUUGCCAAUGACCUAUGCACCCCUAGGAAUUAGUCAGGCUUUGAUCAGUACACCCCAAUGCCAAACCA